rnacentral:rRNA from 1 species
GGUUAAGUGACUAAGCGUAUAUGGUGGAUGCCUUGGCAGUUAGAGGCGAUGAAGGACGUGUUAAUCUGCGAAAAGCUCAGUUAAGGUGAUAAAAACCGUUACAGACUGAGAUAUCCGAAUGGGGAAACCCACUUGCAUAAGCAAGUAUCUUUGCGUGAAUACAUAGCGUAAAGAGGCGAACCGGGAGAACUGAAACAUCUAAGUACCCCGAGGAAAAGAAAUCAACCGAGAUUUCCUUAGUAGCGGCGAGCGAACGGGAAUUAGCCCUUAAGUGGUUUGUAA